CUCCCUGUGGCUCAGUUGGUAGAGCAUGGUGUUUGCAACACCAGGGUUGUGGGUUCACUUCCCAUGGGGGACC
rnacentral:tRNA from 1 species